rnacentral:rRNA from 1 species
UCCUACGGGAGGCAGCAGUAGGGAAUCUUCCGCAAUGGACGAAAGUCUGACGGAGCAACGCCGCGUGAGUGAGGAAGGCCUUCGGGUCGUAAAGCUCUGUUGUGAGGGAAGAAGCGGUACCGUUCGAAUAGGGCGGUACCUUGACGGUACCUCACCAGAAAGCCACGGCUAACUACGUGCCAGCAGCCGCGGUAAUACGUAGGUGGCAAGCGUUGUCCGGAAUUAUUGGGCGUAAAGCGCGCGCAGGCGGCUUCUUAAGUCUGAUGUGAAAUCUCGGGGCUCAACCCCGAGCGGCCAUUGGAAACUGGGGAGCUUGAGUGCAGAAGAGGAGAGUGGAAUUCCACGUGUAGCGGUGAAAUGCGUAGAGAUGUGGAGGAACACCAGUGGCGAAGGCGACUCUCUGGUCUGUAACUGACGCUGAGGCGCGAAAGCGUGGGGAGCAAACAGGAUUAGAUACCCUGGUAGUCCACGCCGUAAACGAUGAGUGCUAGGUGUUAGGGGUUUCGAUGCCCGUAGUGCCGAAGUUAACACAUUAAGCACUCCGCCUGCGAGUACGCAGUCUAGUG